rnacentral:tRNA from 9 species
GGUGCCGUAGCUCAGGUGGUAGAGCGCGCGACUCAUAAUCGCGUUGUCGCUGGUUCGAGUCCAGCCGGCACCACCA